rnacentral:rRNA from 1 species
GAUGAACGCUGGCGGCGUGCCUAAUACAUGCAAGUCGAGCGAACAGACGAGGAGCUUGCUCCUCUGACGUUAGCGGCGGACGGGUGAGUAACACGUGGAUAAUCUACCUAUAAGACUGGGAUAACUUCGGGAAACCGGAGCUAAUACCGGAUAAUAUAUUGAACCGCAUGGUUCAAUAGUGAAAGACGGUAUUGCUGUCACUUAUAGAUGGAUCCGCGCCGCAUUAGCUAGUUGGUAAGGUAACGGCUUACCAAGGCAACGAUGCGUAGCCGACCUGAGAGGGUGAUCGGCCACACUGGAACUGAGACACGGUCCAGACUCCUACGGGAGGCAGCAGUAGGGAAUCUUCCGCAAUGGGCGAAAGCCUGACGGAGCAACGCCGCGUGAGUGAUGAAGGUCUUCGGAUCGUAAAACUCUGUUAUUAGGGAAGAACAAAUGUGUAAGUAACUAUGCACGUCUUGACGGUACCUAAUCAGAAAGCCACGGCUAACUACGUG